CGGCAGGCAGACUCUCAACCACUGCGCCACCAGGGAAGCCCGAAAAGGUCACAGCAACCAGACAAUUAACCACGUUACUCUUCGGUGGAUCUUUACGGAUGUGGCAAUGACUACCUAUAUCCUGAGAUUCUUUGGAGACUCCUCACAAAGACUGAUGAAUGAUCCUUUUCCUCCUGUGUCUUCAUUCCCUUUCAAGGGACGAUGGGGUCCAUUUCAGUUUGAUUUCCAAAUUUUGACACAUAAUAAUUAAAGCGUUACUGCAGGUUGGAAAUCAAGUGUUUGGAUUCUGAGUCCUCGGUCUGCUCUUUUGGCCUGGUAAAUGGCUCAUUCUUCUUUAGUUACAUGAAUAUAUUCUCUCUUCUGGAUGCCAAGACAUGUAGCCUUCAAUGCCCUUUCUGGUCUGAAUGUUCCCGUCCCCACAAAAUUCAUAUUUGGAAGUCCUAACCCCCAAAGUGAUGGUAUCAGAUGGCGGGCCCUUUGGGACUUGAUUAAGGCGUAAAGAUGGAGGCCUCACGA